rnacentral:lncRNA from 1 species
GUGCUGCGCCUGUAAACGGUGUCUUGGAAUUGUAUGGAGUACGCGGGUGCUGCGCCUGUAAACGGUGUCUUGGAAUUGUAUGGAGUACGCGGGUGCUGCGCCUGUAAACAGUGUCUUGGAAUUGUACGGAGUACGCGGGUGCUGCGCCUGUAAACGGUGUCUUGGAAUUGUAUGGAGUACGUGGGUGCUGCGCUUGUAAAUGGUGUCUUGGAAUUGUAUGGGAUCAGUGUAUUCAUGUUUUGUUUGUCAACAUGUAGGCAUUGCUGUAGUGUGCAUACAAUUGUAUGAGUCACGUCUUGGGGAAAAAGUGCUGUAAUAAAAAAAUACUUGUGCAAUCUAACUCAGAGGUGUGCCAUGAUUCAUCAUUAUCUGGACUCGGAUCCCACUUGAAAGUGCAACAGGUAGGUGUGCAGGUAAAGUAGACUUAGAGAGACUAAAAGUGAAAGUGGUUCAGUGGGCAGCAAAGAGGGUUGGCGUUGGGGUUAGGCAACGGGUUAGGGUUAGGCAACGGGUUAGGGUUAGGCAACGGGUUAGGGUUAGGCAACGGGUUAGGGUUAGGCAACGGGUUAGGGUUAGGGUUAGGCAACGGGUUAGGGUUAGGGUUAGGCAACGGGUUAGGGUUAGGGUUAGGCAACGGGUUAGGGUUAGGGUUAGGCAACGGGUUAGGGUUAGGGUUAGGCAACGGGUUAGGGUUAGGGUUAGGCAACGGGUUAGGGUUAGGGUUAGGGUUAGGCAACGGGUUAGGGUUAGGGUUAGGCAACGGGUUAGGGUUAGGGUUAGGGUUAGGGUUAGGGUUAGGGUUAGGGUUAGGGUUAGGGUUAGGGUUAGGGUUAGGGUUAGGCAACGGGUUAGGCAACGGGUUAGGGUUAGGGUUAGGGUUAGGGUUAGGGUUAGGCAACGGGUUAGGCAACGGGUUAGGCAACGGGUUAGGCAACGGGUUAGGCAACGGGUUAGGCAACGGGUUAGGCAACGGGUUAGGGUUAGGGUUAGGGUUAGGGUUAGGGUUAGGGUUAGGGUUAGGGUUAGGGUUAGGGUUAGGGUUAGGGUUAGGGUUAGGGUUAGGGUUAGGGUUAGGGUUAGGGUUAGGGUUAGGGUUAGGGUUAGGGUUAGGGUUAGGGUUAGGGUUAGGGUUAGGGGUAGGGUUAGGGUUAGGGUUAGGGUUAGGGUUAGGGUUAGGGUUAGGGUUAGGGUAAGGGUUAGGGUAAGGGUUAGGGUUAGGGUUAGGGUUAGGGUUAGGGUUAGGGUUAGGGUUAGGGUUAGGGUUAGGGUUAGGGUUAGGGUUAGGGUUAGGGUUAGGGUUAGG